rnacentral:rRNA from 1 species
AGAGUUUGAUCCUGGCUCAGGACGAACGCUGGCGGCGUGCUUAACACAUGCAAGUCGAGCGAGGCCCUCCUUCGGGGGGUGCCCUAGCGGCGAACGGGUGAGUAACACGUGGGCAACCUGCCCUCAGCUCUGGGAUAACUCCAAGAAAUUGGUGCUAAUACCGGAUGUGACCGCUGACCGCAUGGUCUGGUGGUGGAAAGAUUCAUCGGCUGAGGAUGGGCCCGCGGCCUAUCAGCUUGUUGGUGGGGUAAUGGCCUACCAAGGCGACGACGGGUAGCCGGCCUGAGAGGGUGACCGGCCACACUGGGACUGAGACACGGCCCAGAUUCCUACGGGAGGCAGCAGUGGGGAAUAUUGCGCAAUGGGCGAAAGCCUGACGCAGCGACGCCGCGUGAGGGAUGACGGCCUUCGGGUUGUAAACCUCUUUCAGUAGGGACGAAGCGCAAGUGACGGUACCUACAGAAGAAGCACCGGCCAACUACGUGCCAGCAGCCGCGGUAAUACGUAGGGUGCAAGCGUUGUCCGGAAUUAUUGGGCGUAAAGAGCUCGUAGGCGGUCUGUCGCGUCGGCUGUGAAAGCCCGAGGCUCAACCUCGGGCCUGCAGUCGAUACGGGCAAACUAGAGUACUGCAGGGGAGACUGGAAUUCCUGGUGUAGCGGUGAAAUGCGCAGAUAUCAGGAGGAACACCGGUGGCGAAGGCGGGUCUCUGGGCAGUAACUGACGCUGAGGAGCGAAAGCGUGGGGAGCGAACAGGAUUAGAUACCCUAGUAGUCC